rnacentral:rRNA from 1 species
GAUGAACGCUGGCGGCGUGCCUAAUACAUGCAAGUAGAACGCUGAAGGAAGGAGCUUGCUCUUUCCGGAUGAGUUGCGAACGGGUGAGUAACGCGUAGGUAACCUGCCUGGUAGCGGGGGAUAACUAUUGGAAACGAUAGCUAAUACCGCAUAACAGUAGAUGUUGCAUGACAACUAUUUGAAAGGGGCAAUUGCUCCACUACCAGAUGGACCUGCGUUGUAUUAGCUAGUUGGUGAGGUAACGGCUCACCAAGGCGACGAUACAUAGCCGACCUGAGAGGGUGAUCGGCCACACUGGGACUGAGACACGGCCCAGACUCCUACGGGAGGCAGCAGUAGGGAAUCUUCGGCAGUGGACGGAAGUCUGACCGAGCAACGCCGCGUGAGUGAAGAAGGUUUUCGGAUCGUAAAGCUCUGUUGUAAGAGAAGAACGAGUGUGAGAGUGGAAAAU